rnacentral:rRNA from 1 species
UACGUAGGGUGCAAGCGUUGUCCGGAAUUAUUGGGCGUAAAGAGCUUGUAGGCGGUUUGUCGCGUCUGCUGUGAAAUUUCGGGGCUCAACCCCGAACUUGCAGUGGGUACGGGCAGACUAGAGUGUGGUAGGGGAGACUGGAAUUCCUGGUAUAGCGGUGAAAUGCGCAGAUAUCAGGAGGAACACCGAUGGCGAAGGCAGGUCUCUGGGCCAUAACUGACGCUGAGAAGCGAAAGCAUGGGGAGCGAACAGG